AAAGCGAGUUGUUCCAUGAGCAAGGUCACCUAUAUAUUUCCUUUCCUUAUUGUUAAUCGUUUUCUUCUUGUUUGCUGAGAAUAUUAAUUUUACCUGCUUGGAUCAAAUUAAAUUCUAGCAACCAUUUCUCUUUUAUUGAAAAAUUCCAUUUGGCAACAGGGUUGUCAACAUUGUCAUAAAGUUAGCUUGUGAAAAUAUUUUCCAUUUCUAGUGUAUUGGCAUAGAGAUUUUAAUGGGGAACAAAUUUAUAAAUAGCUAGAAGCUCAAUUAUUUUGCUAAUGUCCUUUCCUGGAUAUCCUCUUUGCGCCAAUUUUUCUGCUCUUGUGUUUCCAAGAUUUCCAAUGACAAAAUUAUCAAUCAUUAUCUGACUUGUUUUUAUAACAGUGGCACUGGUGGCCUUUGUGGUGCUGGUUCAUUGAUCUUCCAUAUUCUCUCUGCCUGUGGGAAUUUUGAACUUCAUUAAUAUUUUAAACUUACAAUUUGGCCCAUGUAAGUGAUGUUUUGAUAUUCAUAUGCCAAAGUUAAUGAAGGGGCAUAAUUAGUACAGUAGUGUUCAACUGACAAGGGAGCCUGCUAACUUUUUGCAUAUCUUUACUUCAAAUCUUUGUGUUUUAAUGUUUUUGUAUUUAUAAAUAGUUCUCUUUUAUAUAAGCACUUUGGUGGAGAUAUAUUUCUCCACCUAAUUGUAGGCUUUCAGUUGUUAAGUUUUUAAAUGUUCUUGUUAAGUUUUUAUUCUUCUUGCAAUUUUGCUUUUUGGCCUGCAUAUUUUGGUUAUACAGCUGAAUCUUGCAUAGAUGAUGUGUCUCUUUUAUUGCAGAUCAAGCUAUUCAUAGCUCCAU
rnacentral:misc_RNA from 1 species